GAUUGAACGCUGGCGGCAUGCCUUACACAUGCAAGUCGAACGGUAACGGGCCUUCGGGUGCCGACGAGUGGCGAACGGGUGCGUAAUACAUCGGAACGUGCCCGAUCGUGGGGGAUAACGAGGCGAAGGCUUUGCUAAUACCGCAUACGAUCUACGGAUGAAAGCAGGGGACCGCAAGGCCUUGCGCGGACGGAGCGGCCGAUGGCAGAUUAGGUAGUUGGUGGGAUAAAAGCUUACCAAGCCGACGAUCUGUAGCUGGUCUGAGAGGAUGAUCAGCCACACUGGGACUGAGACACGGCCCAGACUCCUACGGGAGGCAGCAGUGGGGAAUUUUGGACAAUGGGCGCAAGCCUGAUCCAGCCAUGCCGCGUGCAGGAUGAAGGCCUUCGGGUUGUAAACUGCUUUUGUACGGAACGAAAAGCCUUCUUUUAAUACAGGAGGGUCAUGACGGUACCGUAAGAAUAAGCACCGGCUAACUACGUG
rnacentral:rRNA from 1 species